rnacentral:rRNA from 1 species
GACGAACGCUGGCGGCGUGCUUAACACAUGCAAGUCGAACGGAAAGGCCCUGCUUUUGUGUGGUUCUCGAGUGGCGAACGGGGGAGUAACACGUGAGUAACCUGCCCUUGACUUUGGGAUAACUUCAGGAAACUGGGGCUAAUACCGGAUAGGAGCUCCUGCUGCAUGGUGGUGGUUGGAAAGUGUCGGCGGUGGGGGAUGUAUUGGCGGCUUAUCAGCUUGUUGGUGAGGUAGUGGCUUACCAAGGCUUUGACGGGUAGCCGGCCUGAGAGGGUGACCGGCGACAUUGGGACUGCGAUACGGACCAGACUCCUACGGGAGGCAGCAGGGGGGAAUAUUGCACAAUGGGCGGAAGCCUGAUGCAGCAACGCCGCGUGCGGGAUGCCGGCCUUCGGGUUGUAAACCGCUUUCGCCUGUGACGAAGCGUGAGUGACGGUAAUGGGUAAAGAAGCCACGGCUAACUACGUG